UUGCCAAGCACUGGAAAUGAGUGAUAUAGACAUUUUUAAAAAUUAUAAUAAGUCGACUUUUAAUUGAUUACCCGGUCAGUUUCAAAUGCUUUAUUUGCCCAUAUUAAACAAAAUAAGUUAUUUCUAUAAGGUAUUUCUGUUUUGCCAUGUUAAUGUGUUCGAUUAAUAUUUUAUCCCACAGAACUAUCUUGUCAUGUAAGCCUGAAUUAUCAGUACUAUUCUCUAACAUCAUUAAUUGCAAUGGUAUUUUCUGAUCUUUUUUUUUUUUUAAUAACAGAUGGACAAUCCCACUGAAGAUGGUGAUUAUUCUGACUCAAGUCUUUUUGGAUCAUAUGAGGAAUACAAACCAACUAAGACAUCCUCUGAGUCGAGUGAUGACGAGGAGAUAUUCCAUCCAAAGGUAGAAAAAUUGUUCUCUUAUGAUACAUCCAGUGAAGACUCUACAAGUCAUCAGACAUAUGAAGCAGAGGAGCACAGUCAUGUCUGCAAUUCGUAAAGAAGCCCCAAAAAGGGAAAAGCAUCUCUCCAAAAGAGGGAAGACUGAAUUGGAUGAUUCGAGUCCAGGCGGGGACCCUGGCGGUCCGAUCCUUGGCUGCAGAAGCUAGCUCUUGGGACAUGGAAUGUCACCUCUCUGGCAGGGAAGGAGCCCGAGCUGGUGUGUGAGGCAGAGAAUUUCCGACUGGAUAUAGUCGGACUUGCCUCCACACACAGCCUGGGUUCUGGUACCAGUUCUCUCGAGAGGGGUUGGACUCUCUUCCACUCUGGAGUUGCUCACGGUGAGAGGCGCAGAGCAGGUGUGGGCAUACUCAUUGCCCCCCGGCUCAGUGCCUGUACAUUGGGGUUCACACCGGUAGACGAGAGGGUUGCCUCCCUCCGCCUUCGGGUGGGUGGACGGGUCCUGACUGUUGUUUGUGCAUAUGCACCAAACAGCAGCUCAGCAUACCCACCCUUUUUGGAGUCCUUGGAGGGUGUGCUGGAGAGUACUCCUGCUGGGGACUCCCUUGUUCUGCUGGGGGACUUCAAUGCUCACGUGGGCAAUGACAGUGAUACCUGGAGGGGCGUGAUUGGGAGGAACGGCCCCCCCGAUCAAAACCCGAGUGGUGUUUUGUUAUUGGACUUCUGUGCUCGUCACGGAUUGUCCAUAACGAACACCUUGUUCAAACAUAUGGGUGUCCAUAUGUGCACUUGGCACCAGGACACCCUAGGCCGCAGUUCGAUGAUCGACUUUGUAGUUGUAUCAUCGGAUUUGCGGCCGCAUGUUCUGGACACUCGGGUGAAGAGAGGGGCGGAGCUGUCAACUGAUCACCACCUGGUGGUGAGUAGGCUCCGAUGGUGGGGGAAGAUGCCGGUCCGUCCUGGCAGACCCAAACGUAUAGUGAGGGUUUGUUGGGAGCGUCUGGCGGAAUCCCCUGUCAGAAGGAGUUUCAACUCCCACCUCCGACAGAGCUUUUCCCAUGUUCC